GCCGCCUCCCCAAGGCGCCGGGCGGCCUGACCCCGGCCUCGGCCUCCGGGCGCCCGGUCACAGGGCAAGGGGCCCGAGGAAAGCAGAUUUCUCUCGGAAAGAAAGGAAACUUCCUGGUUUGAGCAUUAUGGGUAGGGGGCUAGCGCCCUCCCCCACCCACUACAGGGCAGCGCCAGCCACGGCAUGUCCCGCACGAAGUCCUGCCACUGCCGCUGGUCCUGGUCCGAGGACACGAAGACGAUCUCCAGGCGGCCGUAGAAGGCGGCCAGGCUGGCGCUGAGCUGCGCGCAGGGGGCGCUCAGGCUGCAGCCGAAGUAGAGCCCGAGCAGCGAGAUGCCGCGGGCGCCCAGCGAGUGCACAUCCACCUCCUCGCCGCCGCCCGUCACCAGCUUCUCGCCGAGCAGCUCCUCCAGGAAGCCCGACAUCCUGGCCCACCGCAGCCCCGGCACGCGGGCGGGCAGGCGGCGGCGACCCCGCUCCCUUGGUCCGCGCGGCGGGCGGGUGGAGGCGGCGGCUGCGGCGGCGGCGGGGCGCGGGUGAGAGGAGAGCCCCGCCCACGCGGCCCCGCCCACGCCACGCCCCUCCGGCCCGCCCUCGCCACGCCCCCUCGGUGGCCGUCCCGGGCCGCGCGGCCGCCUGGGCACAGUCCGCAGCAGCUGGCGCGCGGGGCGCGGGCUUCCACCGCGUGGCCAAAGCGCUCGGGAGACAGCCCCGGCGAGAAAGCUGGCCCGAAACGCUCCGCUCUGAUGGAACGCCCGCGGCCUAAGCGAAGAAAGGAGAAGGGUCCGCCGAGCCGGCCUUUCCGAGGCUGCGGUCCGCGCGGAGCUGGACUUGGCCUCGCCCUUCCCUCCGUUUCCUCUCCCCUCCCGAAUUCUAAAUUCUAGCCCAACUUCUCCAGAUAUUCCCACAGUCGUCCCCCGCGAGUUCUUUUACCCCUUCUUGCUGUUUCCCCUCCUUCUCUCUGUCCCCCUACGCAAAGAGUAACACUUGGUCCAUUUCGUACCCCACUGACCCCUCUUUAAUGCCUACAGGACUUACCAUCUUCACCGCACAGUUAUCACUUUAUCAGGCUGGCACUUAUUUCUCUGUUUGUGUGUUUUGUGUUCUCUAGUGUAAAAGGAUUGGAGGAUGCCACCUCCUGUUUUUCGUGUGGCUUCCGAUCUGGUGCUAGGCACAGGUGAAGGAAUCCGUAAAUACUUGUGGGUUGAUCGCAGGUCGCGCUGUGGAUUUUAGUCCACAGGUGGCGGCGGCCAUUCCCCACCAGCGAGUGGCUCUCGUCCAUCUCCACGAAUGUAUGCAACAGAUGCCGCGGCAUCUCUAGAUCAAUGCUGGCUGCUCUCCUGAAUCGGUUCCAUAGCUUAUAUCAAGUCUUGAUAGUUGGGAAAAAUACUAGGGACUUUUCUUGCCAGCUGGCAAGAUGCUACCCUAUGCCUAGGAAGAACCUGGAUUAAACAGGUGGCCUGUGGCAAGUUUUCCGGCCUCACACACACACACACAGGAAAAAAUAAAAUGUAUACUAUGCCCACCCGCAA
rnacentral:lncRNA from 1 species